rnacentral:pre_miRNA from 14 species
AGUUUUCAAAAACAAAACCUUGGAGUAAAGUAGCAGCACAUAAUGGUUUGUGGAUUUUGAAAAGGUGCAGGCCAUAUUGUGCUGCCUCAAAAUACAAGGAUCUGAUCUUCUGAAGAAAG